AGCGGAGGAAAAGAAACCAACAGGGAUUACCUCAGUAACGGCGAGUGAAGCGGUAACAGCUCAAAUUUGAAAUCUGGCUCUCGGGCCCGAGUUGUAAUUUGUAGAAGAUGCUUUGGGUGUGGCUCCGGUCUAAGUUCCUUGGAACAGGACGUCAUAGAGGGUGAGAAUCCCGUACGUGACUGGCGGCCUUCGCUCGUGUAAAGCUCUUUCGACGAGUCGAGUUGUUUGGGAAUGCAGCUCAAAAUGGGUGGUAUAUUUCAUCUAAAGCUAAAUAUUGGCCAGAGACCGAUAGCGCACAAGUAGAGUGAUCGAAAGAUGAAAAGCACUUUGGAAAGAGAGUUAAACAGUACGUGAAAUUGUUGAAAGGGAAGCGCUUGCAACCAGACUUGCAGGCUGUUGAUCAUCCAGGGUUCUCCCCGGUGCACUCGGCAGUUUUCAGGCCAGCAUCGGUUUGGGUGGUGGGAUAAAGGCCUUGGGAAUGUGGCUCUCUUCGGGGAGUGUUAUAGCCCAAGGUGCAAUGCCGCCUACCUAGACCGAGGACCGCGCUUCGGCUAGGAUGCUGGCGUAAUGGUUGUAAGCGACCCGUCUUG
rnacentral:rRNA from 1 species